AACCGAGUGCAGGGGUUUUACGCGUGCAAGUGAGGAUUCGUCCGAUGCCGUGUUAUUGCUAGUUGAAAACUACAUAACCUUGACCGAUCCAGUUGGUCUUUCGAGAUCUUGACUGGUAAUUUUUUAAUUUCUGUUAUGA
rnacentral:snRNA from 1 species